GACGAACGCUGGCGGCGCGCCUAACACAUGCAAGUCGAACGGAGCUUAGAGAGCUUGCUUUUUAAGCUUAGUGGCGAACGGGUGAGUAACGCGUGAGUAACCUGCCCUAGAGUGGGGGACAACAGUUGGAAACGACUGCUAAUACCGCAUAAGCCCACGGUGCCGCAUGGCACUGAGGGAAAAGGAUUUAUUCGCUUUAGGAUGGACUCGCGUCCAAUUAGCUAGUUGGUGAGGUAACGGCCCACCAAGGCGACGAUUGGUAGCCGGACUGAGAGGUUGAACGGCCACAUUGGGACUGAGACACGGCCCACACUCCUACGGGAGGCAGCAGUGGGGGAUAUUGCACAAUGGGGGAAACCCUGAUGCAAGCGACGCCGCGUGGAGGAAGAAGGUUUUCGGAUUGUAAACUCCUGUCGUUAGGGACGAUAAUGACGGUACCUAACAAGAAAGCACCGGCUAACUACGUGCCAGCAGCCGCGGUAAAACGUAGGGUGCAAGCGUUGUCCGGAAUUACUGGGUGUAAAGGGAGCGCAGGCGGGAAGACAAGUUGGAAGUGAAAACCAUGGGCUCAACCCAUGAAUUGCUUUCAAAACUGUUUUUCUUGAGUAGUGCAGAGGUAGAUGGAAUUCCCGGUGUAGCGGUGGAAUGCGUAGAUAUCGGGAGGAACGCCAGUGGCGAAGGCGGUCUACUGGGCACCAACUGACGCUGAGGCUCGAAAGCAUGGGUAGCAAACAGGAUUAGAUACCCUGGUAGUCCAUGCCGUAAACGAUGAUUACUAGGUGUUGGGGGAUUGACCCCCUCAGUGCCGCAGUUAACACAAUAAGUAAUCCACCUGGGGAGUACGACCGCAAGGUUGAAACUCAAAGGAAUUGACGGGGGCCCGCGCAAGCAGUGGAGUAUGAGGUUUAAUUCGAAGCAACGCGAAGAACCUUACCAGGUCUUGACAUCCGAUGCAUAGCACAGAGAUGUGUGAAAUCCUUCGGGACAUCGAGACAGGUGGUGCAUGGUUGUCGUCAGCUCGUGUCGUGAGAUGUUGGGUUAAGUCCCGCAACGAGCGCAACCCUUAUUGCCAGUUACUACGUUAAGAGGACUCUGGCGAGACUGCCGUUGACAAAACGGAGGAAGGUGGGGAUGACGUCAAAUCAUCAUGCCCUUUAUGACCUGGGCUACACACGUACUACAAUGGCGUUAAACAAAGAGAAGCAAGACCGCGAGGUGGAGCAAAACUCAAAAACAACGUCUCAGUUCAGAUUGCAGGCUGCAACUCGCCUGCAUGAAGUCGGAAUUGCUAGUAAUCGCGGAUCAGCAUGCCGCGGUGAAUACGUUCCCGGGCCUUGCACA
rnacentral:rRNA from 1 species